UAGUGGCUCCACACAAUUAGUACUUAGACAUUGUAUACGAGAAGGAGGGCAAGAUGUUCCAAGCAACAAAGAUGUGACAUCUCUAGAUUGGAAUAGUGAAGGUACACUUCUAGCAACUGGUUCAUAUGAUGGAUUUGCCAGAAUAUGGACUAAAGAUGGUAAUCUUGCUAGCACCUUAGGGCAGCAUAAAGGCCCUAUAUUUGCAUUAAAAUGGAAUAAAAAAGGAAAUUUCAUCCUGAGUGCUGGAGUAGAUAAGACUACAAUUAUUUGGGAUGCACAUACUGGUGAAGCCAAGCAACAGUUUCCUUUUCAUUCAGCACCAGCAUUGGAUGUUGACUGGCAAAGCAACAAUACCUUUGCUUCUUGUAGUACAGAUAUGUGCAUUCACGUCUGCAAAUUAGGACAAGACAGACCUAUUAAAACAUUCCAGGGACAUACGAAUGAAGUAAAUGCUAUCAAAUGGGACCCAACUGGCAAUCUCCUGGCCUCCUGUUCUGAUGACAUGACUUUGAAGAUAUGGAGUAUGAAACAAGACAAUUGUGUCCAUGAUUUGCAAGCACAUAAUAAAGAAAUUUAUACUAUUAAAUGGAGUCCAACAGGACCAGG
rnacentral:lncRNA from 1 species